GCAAGAGGUCUCACGUUAUUUCCAAAAGUGUAUUACGUAUUGUUUUGUACCAAAAAGUUAAAAAAUAGUGUGUUUUAACUCUAAAAAUGGAUAACUUUAGACGUCUAUUACUUAAGAUUAUAAUUUUGACCGCCAUCAUAGCCAUUCUACACGCCAGCUACGCAGACGCAAAGAAACACAAAAAGCAUUCGUUGCAACUAUCAGAAAGACAUUUGGAAUAUCUAGAAAAAAUGCACAAUAAAGCGAAGAGAAGCACAUAUGGGAGGAAUUGGGGAAAAUCGAACUAUGGCAAUUAUGGUUUGCCACCAUACUUAGUUUAUAACAGAAAAAGUGGAUCAUACUUUCCGUAUUUCCAGUACCCCGAAAACAGCAUACGACGAAGCAUGAGAAAAUCUUACAAUACAAGAAAAUAUAGUUGAAUUGUGCACAAAUUAAUGAUUUCAUAGAAAUCGUGAAAACAACAAAAAAACCCUUAAAUACUAUUUAAUUGCUAUUCUAAGAAAACAAAAUUAGUUCCUUCAUGGUAUUUUAAAAAUAUUGCCAAAUUACUGUCUGAGUGCAUUAUAAAAUAUCCGUGAAUUAAGAAAAAAACAUGAAUCCUGCUAGAUGUUUUUAGCGAGAUUCAUGUUUAGACCAUAAAAGGUUCUAUGUAAUAUAUUUGUAUAUCUCAGCGUAACGAAUAAUAAAUGAUUUAAUUAAGUCAGUUUAGCGAUAUUCCAACAGUCCAGAACAAUAUUUUAGAAAAACAAAGGAAAACCUUUAAUAUAAAAAAAUACUCAGCAAUAAUAAUCUAAAAUAUAAAACAAGAUUUUGCGUGCAGCACAGCAGAAUUCAGCAGAUAGUACCAAAUAUAAAAUGUGAAAAAAAAAUGCUGGCUUUGAAGAUAAAUGUAUUAUCAAUUUGGUGUAAAUGUGAAAUUUCACACUUACAAUAAGUUUAUGAUUUCAUAGACAAUAAUAACUACUGCUUGAACACACAACUAUAUUAACAGCUAGGUAAGUAAGUAUUAGUAAUUUAUAUCCAAGUGAACUACAAUUACUUUGAAACGAGGUGCUUUUUAAUUUAUGUUUAGUUAAAUAAAAUGACUGAAUAAUGUAUAAAUAUGACUCAA